GCCUUGUAUCCGCGUCUCCGCAGGGAAAACUGCGGCUGGCGAGGAAAGGCCACAUGGGGACAAGAGAGGGCAACUGUCUACAAAUCUGGAAGAGAGACUUCAGAAGAAACCAGCACUGAUGGCAUCUGAUCUUGGACUUCCAGCCUCUGGAUCUAUCUGCCAGAGCCUGAUCUCAUACACACUGAUGUGGUACAGGAAAUGCCACCUGAAAAUAUGGUACCUUGGCAUUUGAGGAAACAGUAGAAGGAGGUCAUAGAAACUAGAAAGAAUUCCUCCUUGCUCUUUGUCCCCCAAAGGAGCCAUAAAACCUGGGCCGAGUUUCUUCUGAAAAUAAGUUAUAAGAUCCUUAUUCCAGAGGGGUCCUGCCCUGUGCCUGGAGGAAAAGAAUGAAGACACAGAGAUGCCUUGAAGAAUCUGAACAAACAGCCCUUGCUAAGUUCCCCCCAGUUUAUUGACAUUAGAUUAGACCUUUUGUCCUCCAAUUAUACUUCUGUGUUCCUGAAAAUACACAUUUUCCCGUUUUUUCUUUUGUUUGCUUUUUUUGAUCUUCAUUUCUGAAGAUUCCCAUGUCAUGUAAAAUAUAUGUUAAACAAAUGUGUAUGCUUUUCUCU
rnacentral:lncRNA from 10 species